CUCUCCAAGGAUGAUUUCAGUACCGCCUCAGUCUGAUUGCUGUGACUGAGUUAAUCCCCUUCUGAGCUGAG